GAUGCUAACCGUGGCAGGCAGCUACCAGUUUCCACUUUAGUUUUUUAUAUCCUUGUCUUGCUUCACAGUUGAUUUCAGGAAGAAGAAACUGUGUAGGCCUGUCUCAGAAAUAACGAACUUGAAUUCGGUAGGCCACUAGGCCAGUAGCCUGACUUCUUCAAGCUUGCACUGUGAAAGAACAAAACAGAUAUGAUCUAGCCAUAGCAUUGAGCUAUCUUUCCUUCUUUCGCUCAUCUUUCCAUUAAUGCAACUUCAGUUCAAAAAUUAGUUAGUUAGUCAUAAGGCACUGUGAAAUUUGCACUUGAUUUGGCGAAUAAGAAGAGAAGUUUCCAUGUUUGUGUAGGUUUCUUGAAGCUUGGAGCUGUUGGAAUCUGAACAUUGUUAGUUGGUUUGAGGUGUGCCAUUCUUGCAGUGCUUUUUUUCAUACUAGGGGUGACAGACUGUACUCUGAAGAUUCUGGCUAAAUUUGAAAUAAUAAUGCAGUCCUAGUGCCUGUGAUGCUUGUCUCUCUCUGUCUCUCUUUCUUGUUGCAAAACAUUCUGAAAUCGGUGAGCUGAUCUUAGCAAUUAGGUGGGCACCGGUAUGAAGCGAUAAUCCAACAGAUUCUAGAUGGUGGACUUCAUUUGAUCAACACCACUCUGCAUUGUAAUCUGGACUUCCAAACAAAAAAUGGUGACAGAAGGCCUGAAAGUGGCGAUUAUUUCUUCGGGAUUGCUGAAACUCAGCUAGCUGAGAUUCAGGUUUGGUCUCAGUCACCGUCUCAACCGAUCGAUCGUUUUGCGCCGCGAUUCGUGCGUUCGAACCACUUCUCUGUUUUGUUUGCAGCCCGUUAUUUGUUGUUGCUGUAGUGGGCCGUUUUUUGUUUGUUCACUCAGCAGGCCCGUUUUCUUCUAUGCGUUAGCAGAACCGAAGCGUUAG
rnacentral:lncRNA from 1 species